AACGAACGCUGGCGGCAUGCCUAACACAUGCAAGUCGAUCGAUCCCUUCGGGGAUAGUGGCGCACGGGUGCGUAACGCGUGGGAAUCUGCCCUUGGCUUCGGAAUAACAGUUAGAAAUGACUGCUAAUACCGGAUGAUGUCUUCGGACCAAAGAUUUAUCGGCCAGGGAUGAGCCCGCGUAGGAUUAGGUAGUUGGUGAGGUAAAGGCUCACCAAGCCGACGAUCCUUAGCUGGUCUGAGAGGAUGAUCAGCCAAACUGGGACUGAGACACGGCCCAGACUCCUACGGGAGGCAGCAGUGGGGAAUAUUGGACAAUGGGCGCAAGCCUGAUCCAGCAAUGCCGCGUGAGUGAUGAAGGCCUUCGGGUCGUAAAGCUCUUUUACCCGGGAUGAUAAUGACAGUACCGGGAGAAUAAGCUCCGGCUAACUCCGUGCCAGCCGCCGCCGUAACAC
rnacentral:rRNA from 1 species